AUUGAACGCUGGCGGAAUGCUUUACACAUGCAAGUCGAGCGGCAGCGCGGGGGCAACCCUGGCGGCGAGCGGCGAACGGGUGAGUAAUACAUCGGAACAUGUCCAGUUGUGGGGGAUAGCCCGGCGAAAGCCGGAUUAAUACCGCAUGAGCUCUGGCGAGGAAAGCGGGGGACCGAAAGGCCUCGCGCGACUGGGUUGGCCGAUGUCCGAUUAGCUAGUUGGUGGGGUAAAGGCNCACCAAGGCGAUGAUCGGUAGCUGGUCUGAGAGGAUGAUCAGCCACACUGGGACUGAGACACGGCCCAGACUCCUACGGGAGGCAGCAGUGGGGAAUUUGGACAAUGGGGCAACCCUGAUCCAGCCAUUCCGCGUGAGUGAAGAAGCCU
rnacentral:rRNA from 1 species